rnacentral:rRNA from 1 species
AACGAGUUAAAUGAAGCGGCAUGGAAAGGCCCACCAAAGAAGGUAACAGUCCUGUAAUUGAAAGUUCGUUCUCUCCAGAGUGGAUCCUGAGUACGGCGGAACACGUGAAAUUCCGUCGGAAUCCGGGAGGACCAUCUCCCAAGGCUAAAUACUACCUAGUGACCGAUAGUGAACCAGUACCGUGAGGGAAAGGUGAAAAGCACCCCGGAAGGGGAGUGAAAGAGAUCCUGAAACCAUGUGCCUACAAGUAGUUAGAGCCCGUUAAUGGGUGAUAGCGUGCCUUUUGUAGAAUGAACCGGCGAGUUACGAUUACGUGCGAGGUUAAGUUGAGAAGACGGAGCCGCAGCGAAAGCGAGUCUGAAUAGGGCGAAUUAGUACGUGGUCGUAGACCCGAAACCAGGUGAUCUACCCAUGUCCAGGGUGAAGGUGAGGUAACACUUACUGGAGGCCCGAACCCACGUACGUUGAAAAGUGCGGGGAUGAGGUGUGGGUAGCGGAGAAAUUCCAAUCGAACCUGGAAAUAGCUGGUUCUCUCCGAAAUAGCUUUAGGGCUAGCCUCGCGGCUAAGAAUCUUGGAGGUAGAGCACUGUUUGGACUAGGGGUCCAUCCCGGAUUACCGAAUUCAGACAAACUCCGAAUGCCAAUGAUUUAUACGCGGGAGUCAGACUGCGAGUGAUAAGAUCCGUAGUCAAAAGGGAAACAGCCCAGACCACCAGCUAAGGUCCCAAAGUAAUCGUUAAGUGGAAAAGGAUGUGACGUUGCUUAGACAACCAGGAUGUUGGCUCAGAAGCAGCCAUCAUUUAAAGAGUGCGUAAUAGCUCACUGGUCGAGUGACGCUGCGCCGAAAAUGUAUCGGGGCUCAACGAUUCACCGAAGCUGUGGAUGGACAUCUCAGAUGUCCGUGGUAGGAGAGCGUUCUAAUCGCUGUGAAGUCAGAUCGUAAGGACUGGUGGAGCGUUUAGAAGUGAGAAUGCCGGUAUGAGUAGCGAAAGAUGAGUGAGAAUCCCAUGCACCGUAUGACUAAGGUUUCCUGAGGAAGGCUCGUCCGCUCAGGGUUAGUCGGGACCUAAGCCGAGGCCGAUAGGCGUAGGCGAUGGACAACAGGUUGAUAUUCCUGUACCACCUCCUUACCAUUUGAGCAAUGGGGGGACGCAGUAGGAUAGGGUAAGCGUGCUGUUGGUUAUGCACGUCUAAGCAGUGAGGUGUGAAUGUAGGCAAAUCCGCAUUCUUUAACAUUGAGCUGUGAUAGCGAAGUUCUUUAGAACGAAGUUCCUGAUUUCACACUGCCAAGAAAAGCCUCUAGCGAGGUAAGAGGUGCCCGUACCGCAAACCGACACAGGUAGUCGAGGAGAGAAUCCUAAGGUGUGCGAGAGAACUCUCGUUAAGGAACUCGGCAAAAUGACCCCGUAACUUCGGGAGAAGGGGUGCUCUGGUAGGGUGCAAGCCCGAGAGAGCCGCAGUGAAUAGGCCCAAGCGACUGUUUAUCAAAAACACAGGUCUCUGCUAAACCGUAAGGUGAUGUAUAGGGGCUGACGCCUGCCCGGUGCUG